rnacentral:lncRNA from 1 species
CUGGGGAGGCAGUGUGGCUGUCAGACACAGUCUGCUCCAAAUGGGGCUGGCCACCGCCUAAGUGAGCAGGAAGAACUCCUGGGCAGGGCACAUGAGCCCUCUUACCCAGGACACAGCCUGUCUGUGAGUUUAAAGCCCCAUCUGUGUAAACGUUCCUGUCCAGAUGUGGCCUCUGGAUGGGAAAAUGCACAUCUGCAGGGCUGUGUUUACUGAACGUGAAUGUGGAUCCUGUAUCAACCUGGCCUGCAACCUACUACGUAGACACGGCUGGAUCUGAACUCAAAGAUCCGCCUGUCUCCCUGAAUGCUUAAAGGGUGUCACUGUGCCCAGCAGAACUGGGCACUUUGAAAGGGUAAACUGUGUGCUGGGAAAAUUAGCUCCACCAACUGCUCAAAACAAAAACCAGGAAGAGCCGUAGGAGCCUGGGAGCCCUGCAAGCGGUGACCCUGCCGUGUGCAGCCAGCAACAGAGGCCACGGCCAUGCCUUACACGGCUCUGUAAUCAUAUUACUUCUGUGUAUGAGGAAUGAAGUUUUCAAAGAUCCCAACAGUGGCGAAGGAGAAUCUCAAGGUCAAGGCUGACCACACCCAGACUGACCCAGGCUGGGCCCCCGGGUCAAGGCUUACGGGGCAGCAACCCCACACAUACCUUUUGGGCUUGCUGACCCCUCUCAUUCUCAGGUCAGUCUCCGCCUUCUGCAGCUCCACCUGUGCCUCUGCCACCUGUGCCUUCUUUGUCUCAAUCUGUGAAGAAGCGAACGCUUGCACGGCUGCUUCCAUCCCCACUCAGGCUUGUCCUGAGGAUUUCCAUCCACAGCUAUUG